UACGUAGGGUGCGAGCGUUGUCCGGAAUUACUGGGCGUAAAGAGCUCGUAGGUGGUUUGUCGCGUUGUUCGUGAAAACCUGAGGCUUAGCCUUGGGCGUGCGGGCGAUACGGGCAGACUGGAGUACUGCAGGGGAGACUGGAAUUCCUGGUGUAGCGGUGGAAUGCGCAGAUAUCAGGAGGAACACCGGUGGCGAAGGCGACUUUCUGGCCUGUUCUUGACGCUGAGGCGCGAAAGCUAGGGGAGCAAACGGG
rnacentral:rRNA from 1 species